rnacentral:rRNA from 1 species
ACGGGAGGCAGCAGUGAGGAAUAUUGGUCAAUGGACGGAAGUCUGAACCAGCCAAGUCGCGUGAAGGAUGAAGGUAUUAUGUAUUGUAAACUUCUUUAGCAGUGGAGUAAUAAGGGGAUCGCGAUCCCUGAUGCAAGUACACUGAGAAUAAGGAUCGGCUAACUCCGUGCCAGCAGCCGCGGUAAUACGGAGGAUCCGAGCGUUAUCCGGAUUUAUUGGGUUUAAAGGGUGCGCAGGCGGCGUGCUAAGUCAGCGGUUAAAUAGUGAGGCUCAACCUCAUCCCGCCGUUGAUACUGGCAUGCUUGAUUGCGGUCGAGGUUGGCGGAAUUCGCCGUGUAGCGGUGAAAUGCAUAGAUAUGGCGAAGAACUCCGAUUGCGUAGGCAGCUGACCAGGCCGUAAAUGACGCUCAUGCACGAAAGUGCGGGGAUCGAACAGGAUUAGAUACCCUGGUA